rnacentral:rRNA from 1 species
AUGCCGCGUGUGUGAAGAAGGCCUUAUGGUUGUAAAGCACUUUAAGCGAGGAGGAGGCUCCUGUAGUUAAUACCUACAGUGAGUGGACGUUACUCGCAGAAUAAGCACCGGCUAACUCUGUGCCAGCAGCCGCGGUAAUACAGAGGGUGCGAGCGUUAAUCGGAUUUACUGGGCGUAAAGCGUGCGUAGGCGGCUUUUUAAGUCGGAUGUGAAAUCCCCGAGCUUAACUUGGGAAUUGCAUUCGAUACUGGGAAGCUAGAGUAUGGGAGAGGAUGGUAGAAUUCCAGGUGUAGCGGUGAAAUGCGUAGAGAUCUGGAGGAAUACCGAUGGCGAAGGCAGCCAUCUGGCCUAAUACUGACGCUGAGGUACGAAAGCAUGGGGAGCAAACAGGAUUAGAUACCCUGGUAGUCCAUGCCGUAAACGAUGUCUACUAGCCGUUGGGGCCUUUGAGGCUUUAGUGGCGCAGCUAACGCGAUA